GUUUUACUUUUUCUUGGUUUUCUUUAGCAAGAAAGUAAGCUAGCUAGCUAUCUUGUGGGUCUGCUUCUGUAAUGGAGUGAACACAGUUUCAAUGAUCUCUAUGGUACCACUCACAUGCACUAGUCCAGCUAGCUUUUUACCUCUCUUCCAGAUUGCCUAAACGUAACUCGAAAGCAAAAAUCAAACUGAUCAGAGCAAGCAAAAGCUGCAAAAACACAAGCAUUCUUGUUGUUUUCGCAAAGGGUACUAUACCCAAUUCCUUUAUAUAACAUAUAUCAAUCCACUGACCUCUAGCUAGGUCUCAUACCCUUUUUUCAAUUCUUGCCUAUCUAGCUAUAGUGCAAUGGGUACAAUCCCGUAUGAUUCUGAUGGCAUCACAAAUCAAUUUGAUAUGAUUUGGCAAGUAUUGAAAGUACCAAUAAUCAUACCAGCAUUGAAAUUAUUGGUGAUAAUGUGCUUAGUAAUGUCAAUAAUGCUCUUCAUUGAAAGGGUGUAUAUGGGCAUUGUUAUAGUUUUUGUGAAGUUGUUAGCGAGGAAAGCUAGCAAGAGGUACAAAUGGGAGCCCAUGAAGGACGAUAUUGAGCUUGGAAAUUCUUCUUAUCCAAUGGUUCUAGUUCAAAUUCCAAUGUACAAUGAAAAGGAGGUUUAUCAACUGUCAAUAGGAGCUGCAUGUGGGCUUUCCUGGCCGUCUGAUCGAAUCAUAAUCCAAGUACUUGAUGAUUCAACUGACGCUGGCAUUAAGGUUCCUAUAAUUAACUCAAUCUUGCUAUCCUAGUUCUCCCCUGGGGUUUCAAGGUACUUGUACCCUGUGCCCAAAAUGUUGCACCUUGAUUUUGGGUAAAAGUUUAUAUUUAGUUCACCAUAGACCAGGGUAAUUAGGCUUUGUCAGGGGUCGAUUCCGUCCUAAACUGGAUUGGAAUUGAUUUCGAUCGAACUAGGAAUUGACAUGAGUCAACGGUUCAGUAAAUUAGAUUGGCCUCGAAUCGGAUUAUUGGGAGGGGCUGCUCCUGAGGCUCUGAAUCAGAACCAAAUUGAAUUCGACAACUCAAAUCAUCGAUUUUGGCCCAAUUCAAACUAGAUUGAAAAAAAAAAAAAGGUAUGUGGCAGCUUUAAAGAGUACUGCAUGGAUUAAAUUAUUUUCAAACAGGAACAAAAUUGCCAAAAUUGACAUUGAAAUGGCUUUUAAAUUGGACCAAAACUAGAUCAAAACUGAUUAAAAAUCAGAACCAGCUAAAGUCGGUUGAUCUGAAUCACCAAUUUUGAUCCAAAAUCGACCCAGCCCGAACCCCUUGCCGGCCCUAGGGGUAGUUACAAGUGGGAGCUCUAGAUCCAACACCCUACCCUUCUUAAAAAAAAAAGUUAAAAAAAAAAAUGGAUUAGCAUUCCAAUAAUUGAGAACAAUCUCGGCAUCUUCCUCCUUUUCUAAUAAAUUAUUUAUUCAAUUUAAGCAAAAAAAAUUAGCAUAAUUUGGUGCUUGUGUUUUGUUGGUUUUGGCUCAUAUAAAACAGAGCUUGGUGGAAAUAGAAUGCCAGAGAUGGGCAAGCAAAGGCAUAAAUAUAAAGUACGAGAUAAGGGACAACAGAAAUGGGUACAAGGCGGGAGCUCUUAAAGAAGGAAUGAAACACAGCUAUGUGAAACAUUGUGACUAUGUAGCCAUUUUUGAUGCUGACUUCCAGCCUGAGCCUGACUUCCUUUGGCGUACCAUUCCUUUUCUUCUCCACAAUCCUCAGAUUGCUCUUGUUCAAGCUCGCUGGAAAUUUGUUAAUGCUGAUGAAUGCUUAAUGACAAGGAUGCAAGAAAUGUCACUGGAUUACCAUUUCACAGUGGAGCAAGAAGUGGGCUCUUCGACCUAUGCCUUCUUUGGAUUCAAUGGAACUGCUGGUGUAUGGAGAAUUUCAGCUCUCAAUGAAGCAGGAGGAUGGAAGGAUAGAACAACUGUGGAAGAUAUGGAUUUGGCUGUCAGGGCAAGUCUAAAAGGCUGGAAAUUCGUUUAUAUUUCUGACCUCAAGGUGAAAAAUGAAUUACCAAGCACAUUCAAAGCGUACAGAUACCAGCAACAUAGAUGGUCUUGUGGCCCUGCAAAUCUCUUCAAGAAAAUGGCGAUGGAAAUAGUAAGAAACAAGGUAAAUGCUCUUUCAAUUUUCAUAUUCAUUUACACAUUUUUUGGUUCAUUUGGCUCUGAUAGGGACUCAAAUUUUGAGCUUGAAACCUAAAGACAAUUCAAAUAUUUAUAUUUUAGACUAUCUUCGUACUUUAACUACUGUUAUCAUGUACUAUCUUCUGCAGAAAGUGUCAAUGUGGAAGAAGUUUUAUGUGAUCUACAGCUUCUUCUUCGUUCGUAAGAUCAUUGCUCAUAUGGUCACCUUCUGGUUCUACUGUGUUGUUCUUCCAUUAACUAUUUUGGUUCCUGAGGUUGAAGUUCCAAUCUGGGGAGCUGUUUAUAUUCCUUCCAUUGUCACUAUUCUAAAUUCAGUAGGAACUCCAAGGUCAAUUCACUUACUGUUCUAUUGGAUUCUGUUUGAAAAUGUGAUGUCCUUGCACCGAACAAAGGCGACAUUUAUCGGUCUGCUAGAAGCAGGAAGAGCUAAUGAAUGGGUUGUCACUGAAAAACUGGGAAAUAAACUUCAGAAAAAUGCAGAUGCUUCCAAGAACAAAACCAAUGUCAAAAUGUUUAAAAGACCUCGGUUGAAAAUCAUUGACAGGCUCAACACAUUGGAGCUGGGAUUUGCAGCAUUCCUUUUCUUGUGUGGAUGUUAUGAUUUUGUUCAUGGCAAGAACAACUACUUUGUAUACCUUUUCCUCCAAACUAUUACCUUCUUUAUCACCGGAAUCGGCUACGUCGGCACCAUUAUCCCCAGCUCUUAGCUGCAACUGCAGAAGCUACUAGUGACAAGGAAAAAUUGGCGCAGCCCUUUUCGUGUUUUUCAUGUUGUGUUUAUGUUUGUUUCUACUCUGCGACACAAUAUAUAAGUGGGGAUACAUCAGCAAAUAUAGAUUGCAAUUCCUACUAUUUAAGAUCAUUUAAGAAAAAUAGGUCAUUCAAUAUGCUUGGCAACAGAUGCCAUUCUCAAAAGAAUUAAUUCUGAAUCACUCAAGUGAAAGUAGAGGGAAAAAGAAAAUAGUAGAAGAGAAAAUGCUGUUAUUUUGCAAACGCAUCAUACAGAAUCAAGGACAAAAGAUGCCAGCAGAAACAGCAUAUUCUUUAGGCAAAAAAUAAUGAAAUUUCAUUUAGAUAGAUUGCUUGUAAUUGUGAGAUUCUGUUCCCCUUUUCCCUGUUUUCCAAUUGUUAGUUUCUCCUUAGUUUCAGCAGAACAAUCUGAUGAAAUGAAAGGGUGUUUUUGUAAUCAAAGUUCAUUUAAUUAUUGUUUUUACUUUUCAUAUAUGUGCUUCUUUUUCUUUUGGAUUGUAUUACAAAGGGAUUUCUUAAGUACUAGAGUCGUCUCCAUUGCAAUAAGAU
rnacentral:misc_RNA from 1 species